rnacentral:rRNA from 1 species
AUUCCAGCUCCAAUAGCGUAUAUUAAAGUUGUUGCAGUUAAAAAGCUCGUAGUUGGAUUUCUGGUUAGAUGCGCCUGGCCCGCCGACGUUCAGUCGUGUGAAGUGCUGGUGCGCAACUGCCAUCCUUCUAGAGAAGGGACCAACGGUUCAUUCCGGUUCGGUUCACAAUCUAGAUCUUUUACUUUGAAAAAAUUAGAGUGUUUAAAGCAGGCUUUUGCUAUGAAUACAUUAGCAUGGAAUAAUAAUUUAGGACUCUGUUUCUAUUUUGUUGGUUUCCGGAAACGGAGUAAUGAUUGAUAGGGAUUGUUGGGGGUGCUAGUAUUCAGCGGCCAGAGGUGAAAUUCUCGGAUUCGCUGAAGACUAACUUAUGCGAAAGCAUUCACCAAGGAAGUCUUCAUUA